UGAUGAUUAAUGAAAGUCCAAGGCUGCCCAUGUCCACGCGUCCUGGCAUUUUAUAUGUAUGAUGAUUAAUGAAAGUCCAAGGCUGCCCAUGUCCACGCGUCUUGGCAUUGUAUGUUAUGAUUAAGAGGAAGUCCUACGGAGCUCCGUCGAGGGCCGGGCACAUUGGUUAUGUAGAGGGUUAUUGGUGACAAGUUCAUCCGUGAUGUGAAAUGUAUGUGCUGUGAUGCAUUCCAUGAAAGCAUGAU
rnacentral:lncRNA from 1 species